GAUGAACGCUGGCGGCGUGCCUAAUACAUGCAAGUCGAGCGAACGGACGAGAAGCUUGCUUCUCUGAUGUUAGCGGCGGACGGGUGAGUAACACGUGGAUAACCUACCUAUAAGACUGGGAUAACUUCGGGAAACCGGAGCUAAUACCGGAUAAUAUUUUGAACCGCAUGGUUCAAAAGUGAAAGACGGUCUUGCUGUCACUUAUAGAUGGAUCCGCGCUGCAUUAGCUAGUUGGUAAGGUAACGGCUUACCAAGGCAACGAUGCAUAGCCGACCUGAGAGUGUGAUCGGCCACACUGGAACUGAGACACGGUCCAGACUCCUACGGGAGGCAGCAGUAGGGAAUCUUCCGCAAUGGGCGAAAGCCUGACGGAGCAACGCCGCGUGAGUGAUGAAGGUCUUCGGAUCGUAAAACUCUGUUAUUAGGGAAGAACAUAUGUGUAAGUAACUGUGCACAUCUUGACGGUACCUAAUCAGAAAGCCACGGCUAACUACGUGCCAGCAGCCGCGGUAAUACGUAGGUGGCAAGCGUUAUCCGGAAUUAUUGGGCGUAAAGCGCGCGUAGGCGGUUUUUUAAGUCUGAUGUGAAAGCCCACGGCUCAACCGUGGAGGGUCAUUGGAAACUGGAAAACUUGAGUGCAGAAGAGGAAAGUGGAAUUCCAUGUGUAGCGGUGAAAUGCGCAGAGAUAUGGAGGAACACCAGUGGCGAAGGCGACUUUCUGGUCUGUAACUGACGCUGAUGUGCGAAAGCGUGGGGAUCAAACAGGAUUAGAUACCCUGGUAGUCCACGCCGUAAACGAUGAGUGCUAAGUGUUAGGGGGUUUCCGCCCCUUAGUGCCGCAGCUAACGCAUUAAGCACUCCGCCUGGGGAGUACGACCGCAAGGUUGAAACUCAAAGGAAUUGACGGGGACCCGCACAAGCGGUGGAGCAUGUGGUUUAAUUCGAAGCAACGCGAAGAACCUUACCAAAUCUUGACAUCCUUUGACAACUCUAGAGAUAGAGCCUUCCCCUUCGGGGGACAAAGUGACAGGUGGUGCAUGGUUGUCGUCAGCUCGUGUCGUGAGAUGUUGGGUUAAGUCCCGCAACGAGCGCAACCCUUAAGCUUAGUUGCCAUCAUUAAGUUGGGCACUCUAAGUUGACUGCCGGUGACAAACCGGAGGAAGGUGGGGAUGACGUCAAAUCAUCAUGCCCCUUAUGAUUUGGGCUACACACGUGCUACAAUGGACAAUACAAAGGGCAGCGAAACCGCGAGGUCAAGCAAAUCCCAUAAAGUUGUUCUCAGUUCGGAUUGUAGUCUGCAACUCGACUACAUGAAGCUGGAAUCGCUAGUAAUCGUAGAUCAGCAUGCUACGGUGAAUACGUUCCCGGGUCU
rnacentral:rRNA from 1 species